AAUUUGAACGCCCUUGGGCAAAAAAUCGUUUUUGGCCUUUUAUCUAAUUUAUGCUAAGGAAAUUCAAAUUUGUGUGCCCAAAAAACAGGUUUUUUAAGAUAUCUUUAUACAUAAUUUGGCAUUUUCACAAUUGUAAAAAAAAAAAUUGAAAAAUGGACCAAAUGUUAUUUUUGGUCACCUAUUCUACUACUUGAGCGCACCACUCCACACUUGUUUAGGUUCGGCUCUCAUACCACUUGUAACACCCUGGCCGUCAACUCUUAAGUGGGCCCCAUGUUCACUCUUAUCCCAUGGCUCACCUCUCUUGCUGGACCUCACGUCCUCUCACAAGGCCCGUGAGCCCAUCCAUAUCUGA
rnacentral:lncRNA from 1 species